CAUGCAAGUCGAACGAAGGCUUCGGCCUUAGUGGCGCACGGGUGCGUAACGCGUGGGAAUCUGCCCUUGGGUUCGGAAUAACAGUUAGAAAUGACUGCUAAUACCGGAUGAUGACGAAAGUCCAAAGAUUUAUCGCCCAGGGAUGAGCCCGCGUAGGAUUAGGUAGUUGGUGGGGUAAAGGCCUACCAAGCCGACGAUCCUUAGCUGGUCUGAGAGGAUGAUCAGCCACACUGGGACUGAGACACGGCCCAGACUCCUACGGGAGGCAGCAGUGGGGAAUAUUGGACAAUGGGCGAAAGCCUGAUCCAGCAAUGCCGCGUGAGUGAUGAAGGCCUUAGGGUCGUAAAGCUCUUUUACCAGGGAUGAUAAUGACAGUACCUGGAGAAUAAGCUCCGGCUAACUCCGUGCCAGCAGCCGCGGUAAUACGGAGGGAGCUAGCGUUGUUCGGAAUUACUGGGCGUAAAGCGCACGUAGGCGGUUAUUCAAGUCAGAGGUGAAAGCCCGGGGCUCAACCCCGGAACUGCCUUUGAAACUAGAUGACUGGAAUCUUGGAGAGGUCAGUGGAAUUCCGAGUGUAGAGGCGAAAUUCGUAGAUAUUCGGAAGAACACCAGUGGCGAAGGCGACUGACUGGACAAGU
rnacentral:rRNA from 1 species